CCGCGUCCCCACACACCCACACACCACAUCAAAUCAGAGCCAGCUCACAGACUCACUCGACACAUCCUAUCCUCCUGACCUACAUUCACACACACGUUUCGCUCGCUCACCGCAGUGUGCCAGAGCGUAGUUAGCUUGCAGCAUUAUCAGAUAACAGGAGACGUCAAACCAUAAUAUGCACGACAAGUGAAAAGACGGCGAAGCGACCUAUAACCUACAGGAGUAUAAAUACGCAGACACGACAAUAUAAAGAUUACAGAUUAAAAGUAAAUAAAGUGCACAGGGAAGCAUGCAAGUGUUUAAGUUAAAGCAAUGAAAACAGUCAGGAAAUGUGCCUGAAGUGUAAUUAAUGAAACAGAUAGUAAAUAUUGAUCACAUUAUUCACAUUUAAGUGCUGUUUUGAAGCCUAUUAAAGCAAAUUGCUUUACACAGCUAUCAGACCCCAGGCUACUUAAUAAGACAGAAGUAUGAACCCACAUGCUGGUUACCUAGCAACAAGAUGCAGAUGAAACACGCGGCGGCAGAACAGCGACAGGUAGAAAUUAGCUGACCUUGGGGAAGAAGCGGCAGUAGUCUCUGGUCAGAACCAUCUCCACCACGUCUUUCAGCCCCUCCAAACCCAACAUGUCUGCUGCCAGCACCACCUGACUGUGGGACAGGGGACAUCAAAUACAGGAAUAAAACAAAAGACUGAGAAUGGUGUAAACACACUCUGUACAUCAUGCAGCACUCAGCCCACGUGACUGCAGCCUGAGGGCUACUUCACAGGUCCCCCCCCCCCCCCAAACGCCGCAUCAACGCAGCCGCUCUCCAUGAUGACAGCCGCGUCUUCCCCCGUUACCCUCUGAUCAGUGAUGCUGAGGCGAGUGGCACGUCUAACCCCCGGAGGAAAAAGAAAAAAGGGCUUCAUCCGCCUCUGCUGCUCUGAACGGAGACUGCGGGUGGUAGGGAAGGCGUGGGGGUGGUGGUGCAGGCUCUUCAGCAGCCAGUGGGUGAAGAGACAUUUAUGUGCCUUACAUAGGAAACAUCACAACCUUGUUUGGUGGAAAUCUGAGCGAGCCAUUUGAGAUUCCACUGGCAGUGGGUGGUGGCUUUGUGUGUGUGUUUGGGUGUGUCAAGUUGAAACAUGGGAUUGUGAGUGAAACCCCAUCCUGUACAGAGCCACCUCCGUUGCACCACAUGAAUAAUUGAUGCAGCAUGUGCGGUCGUUACUGUUACAGAAAUGAAAUGUGGAGUUGUUCGUCCAGGAAUGGAGGUGUGUUAUUGAUCCCGGUGACCUGCUGCGAGGUGACGCUGAUGCACCGGUCUUA